rnacentral:rRNA from 1 species
AAUGGAAAUAGUUAUGUUCUUGAUGAACAUGAAGACAUAUGAAUAAAUAUGACUUUAGUAUGUGCUAUUUUCUGUUGAAAAUAAUAUAUUCUAUUAUAUUUCUGUGCCAGUUGAGACGGUAAUACAGACAGAAUGUCUUCCUUUUUAAAGGAAGAAGAAAGUGUGUUUUUCUCUAGCUUUUGAAAAGAAAAUCAAGUAGUUUAUGAUGUACCGUAAAGAAAUACUUUCCUUUAGUUAAACAUUAUCUUUUUUAGUCAACAAGAUGCUAUUUGGUUCCAUGAUGAUCCAAUAAAGCGUGCUGUAACUAGCUUAUUAUCUUACUUUGAAUGGAGAGCUGCAUGACCACUCUAUACUUAAGACUUUAGUUUGAUUUGGUGACAUGGCUGGAUAUAGGUUAACAUCAUGGAUAACUACCUAUUGUAAAAAGGUAGUUGGUAACCAAUAAGUAAUUUUUUCUUCUUAGAGAUGGUAAGGUGAAAUGUCACUUUGUUGGAUUAGUUGCUCGUCAUCCGGUAUCUACUGGUAAGUCGAAACAAGGUAAGUCUUGAUGAAUCAGGACUUUUAGACUGUUGUCUAAACGUUAUGUUUGUAAAACUUUAUAUGUUUCUGAGUAUGUGAAGAUGAUGUCCAUAUAAAGUUUUACUCCUUAUUUUGCCUAGUGAAUUAGGAGCUAAUAAGAAAAUUUCAGAUAAAUUACCUUGUGGUAUGUUAAUUUCUGAUUUCCUGAAAGUAAAAUAAUAAGCUUGUGAGAAGUAUGUCUUUAUGUCUGGGAGUUUGUCUCCUUAAUAGUAUCAGGUUUGAAAGGAAAUACUUUUUUAUAUGUUCAGGUUCCUUAUGAAAAAAAGAAUAUCUUUUUGUUCGAUGAUGGUAGAGAAUAGUUGAAUUAUGUGAUAUUCUCUUUUCUUCUUGUACUGGUUCCGUAAGGGAAAAAGUAAAAUGGAAGGAGUCCUGAGGUGUAAAGCCAUAGUUAUGUUGAUUUUAUGGAUGUUAUGUCAAUUGAUUUGUCGUAAUAGAGAAAUUAACAUAGUAAUAUGGGUGUUUACCUUGUGGGUAAUAAGGUAUGCCUUUUGGUAUAGUAAAGGUUAGCAUGAGUAAGUAUGAUUAAAAGUUAGUAUUCUGUGUUUGUGUUAGAAAAUGGAUUUAUUUUACUUUUAUUUCUUUAUUUAGAAGGACCACAAUUGAUGAAUUCGGCAAGAUAAGGUACACCUGUUUCCUAAAAACAUAGAUGCCAUAAGAAUUGGUAUCGUUUACUGCCAAAGGUUUUCUACUGGCAGCGGUAUACUGACCGUAAUAAAGUACCGUAAUUGAUAGUUAUUUAAUUGGUAACCAGGGAAGUGAAGAUGAUACCUUUCCUGUAUGAAUUGUGUGGAUCUGAAAUUAUGUUAGUGAUGAACAUAUCAUUUUUAGUAAAAGGGAGGAAAAGACCCAGGAUUCUUGAAUGAUUUUUGUUAUGUUUAUUUACUUUUGAUCAUUUUACUUGGGGUAAGGUUUUUACGAAGAUGUAAAAGUUAACCUUGUUUUGUUUUUUUAAGAGAAAAGAUAUCCUGGGAUAAUGGGGCAAGAUU